rnacentral:rRNA from 1 species
ACGCUUUUUACUUUAGCUUGCUAGAGUAUAAGGAGUUGCGAACGGGUGAGUAACGCGUAGGUAACCUACCUACUAGCGGGGGAUAACUAUUGGAAACGAUAGCUAAUACCGCAUAAAAGUUUUUAACACAUGUUAGAAGCUUGAAAGAUGCAAAUGCAUCACUAGUAGAUGGACCUGCGUUGUAUUAUCUAAUUGGUGGGGUAAAGGCCUACCAAGGCGACCAUACAUACCCCACCUGAGAGGGUGAACGGCCACACUGGGACUGAGACACGGCCCAUACUCCUACUGGAGGCAUCACUACGGAAUCUUCGGCAAUGGGGGCAACCCUGACCGAGCAACGCCGCGUGAGUGAAGAAGGUUUUCGGAUCUUAAAUCUCUGUUGUAAGAAAAGAACGUGUGUGAGAGUGGAAAGUUCACAUGUGACGGUGACUUACCAGAAAGGGACGGCUAAUUACUUGCCAGCAACCGCGGUAAUACGUAGGUCCCGAGCGUUGUCCGGAUUUAUUGGGCGUAAAGCGAGCGCAGGCGGUUUAAUAAGUCUGAAGUUAAAGGCAGUGGCUUAACCAUUGUUCGCUUUGGAAACUGUUAAACUUGAAUGC